GGCGGUGGGAGAGAGUAGGAGGUAGACAAGUUGAAGAAGUGGUUUGAAAGUUUGGAGAUCUUUACCUGGAGAAGAGAACACUUAGAGAAGGUAAGAACUAUUAGUUAGUUUCUUGUGGGUUCCUGGAUUAGGGACUCAUCUGGUUUAUUUUAGGUAAUUCAGGAAUUUUUAGAAGGAUAUAUGUGAAAAUACAGGCAAGACUCUCGAUUGUGGCAACCCAGGAAGAGCUGACAGUCAAGUUAGUUGGAAGGAAGAGUCAUGUUGUAGCUGGGUCUAACUGAGCCUAGAGCUGAGAUCUAGUGCAGGAAAUCAUUCAAAAUUAUUGAUAGAACCUAUUGAAAUUAUAGGUAAGCUGGUUAUUAUACUGUACCUCCAGCCACAGGACUCCUAUUCUAGUGCUCCAUCAUUAACAUUAACAUGACUUGGCUAUUUUUCAUUUUGUGUCUCUGCUUUGUUAAUGUUACUGUCUAAUUGACCUUUUCCCAUGUUUCCAGACAAAAGUGCUGAGAGAAAGAAUCUCAUUGAUGAACUGUCCUUAGUAAGACAAACACUUGUGCUGGGUUUCCUCAUAGGUCACACAUGAGCCCAUAAAUGGACCAGGAUGGUGGAAACACACAGAACAUGGCCACUUAGGUAUAAGGAACAACUCAUAUGCUCAUGUUUACCUGUGGCCAUUUUUGUUGACCUGUUCAUGAAGGAUGAUAACCUGUGAAAUGAUGCACCAGCAGGAGAGAGACGGGCCCAGGGUCCGCACCCUGUGCUGUUUGCUUUGUGAAAUUCCAGACUGUUUAAUCUGCUCUAUCUCAUCCUAAUAACUCCAGAUUCCACUUUUCUUAAUGACUUUCCCCUCCUUAAGUGCUUACAGAGUUAUCUUUGAAGAAGGAGAAAAAGAAUAGAUGAAUCAUUUGCAGGAAACGGGGGGAGAGACAUGUGGUUGGAAUGGCAGAUGGCUGAGCAUGUGGGCACAUAGCUGUCUCUGUUGUUCCUUCCACCACCCUGUGGGAACGAGUCCUUUGGAAGUGUACAUUCAUUCCAAGGUGGGGGCUGUGCCCACUUUCAGGUACUAACACGUAAAUCCACAUCCGCUC
rnacentral:lncRNA from 10 species